UACGUAGGGUGCGAGCGUUUAAUCGGAAUUACUGGGCGUAAAGGGCGCGUAGGCGGCCACCGCAAGUCGACUGUGAAAUCUCCGGGCUUAACCCGGAAAGGUCAGCCGAUACUGCGGGGCUAGAGUGCAGAAGGGGCAACUGGAAUUCCUGGUGUAGCGGUGAAAUGCGCAGAUAUCAGGAGGAACACCGGUGGCGAAGGCGGGUCUCUGGGCCGUAACUGACGCUGAGGAGCGAAAGCGUGGGGAGCGAACAGG
rnacentral:rRNA from 1 species